GGCAUAAUUUUCGCGGCAGACCGGACGCAAAAACCUGCCCAGUACCGGCGAAAUGGUAUAUCCUUGUUACUUUGCCUGUUUAUGGCCUAAAUUGGUUCCUAUUAGAUGGUUAGAAAGUUUGACGUGGAGGUUAGGGGUCUAAAGGGAGUAAGGGAUUUUGAUAGAAACUUGAAUUAGAUAAACAAGAUCUAAAAUUAGUCAGCUGAAGAAAAAUAGUGAAUGUAAAUUUCCUUUCAAAUUUAACCUGGUUACGGUAAUCAGAAAAUAGUUCUGCAACAUCAGAUAAUAUAAAGCAUUUCCCGCCCGCCUCGACAUAUUCGUUUCUCUCAGCAACCAUUUCAUAUUGCAUUCUCGAUCUGGAAGUGCAGUAUCUUUUUUUGCCCAGUUUCU